UGAAUGAGUGAGGGAGAAAUAAUUCAUUCAUUUCAUAACUUGUUGGUAUUAUCUGAGACAAGUGGACACUGAAUGG
rnacentral:sRNA from 1 species